AUUGAACGCUGGCGGCAGGCCUAACACAUGCAAGUCGAGCGGAUGAAGGGAGCUUGCUCCUGGAUUCAGCGGCGGACGGGUGAGUAAUGCCUAGGAAUCUGCCUGGUAGUGGGGGAUAACGUCCGGAAACGGGCGCUAAUACCGCAUACGUCCUGAGGGAGAAAGUGGGGGAUCUUCGAGCCUCACGCUAUCAGAUGAGCCUAGGUCGGAUUAGCUAGUUGGUGGGGUAAAGGCCUACCAAGGCGACGAUCCGUAACUGGUCUGAGAGGAUGAUCAGUCACACUGGAACUGAGACACGGUCCAGACUCCUACGGGAGGCAGCAGUGGGGAAUAUUGGACAAUGGGCGAAAGCCUGAUCCAGCCAUGCCGCGUGUGUGAAGAAGGUCUUCGGAUUGUAAAGCACUUUAAGUUGGGAGGAAGGGCAGUAAGUUAAUACCUUGCUGUUUUGACGUUACCAACAGAAUAAGCACCGGCUAACUUCGUG
rnacentral:rRNA from 1 species